UAGAGCUUAAUUUAUAAAUUAGGCGCAGUGAGAGAUUAAGAAUAAUAAUAAGGAACAAUACGACAAUAUACUGUAAUAAAAGGUAUGUGAACGUGCUCUCUGAAAACACCUCACGGCGCUGUGCUCACUCACCCUUCCUGCGAUGACGGGACACGCAAAAUGCCUACGUGAUGACGUAAGGCGAACGUGGUAGGCGGGCCUUGUGACGUAACACGGGGCUCCUACCGACCCUCGGAGGAUCCUUGGCAAGGCUCACCAGCUUCCAGAGGUGGCUGCAGGCGGUGAUUGAAACCGUGGGGAACGCCACACUGCGGGUGAGGGGGAACUACCAUACUGCUACCGCUGAAUGUCCAACGCAGCUCAGAAGUAUCUGUGUUUCAUCCUCAUAGGUAUAGAUACCUAUUUCAGGUGUGGGCGUGCCUUUCCUGCCCAGAGAGCGUCAGCCAGCACCACUAUCUGCAGGCUUAUGGAACACCCCAUCCGCACGCCUGGCACCCCAUACAACACCGCGUCUGAGGGCUGCUUCACCAACUUGUCGCUUCCCUGCGAUACCUGGACCCUGGACGUAGCCCCUUACCCGGAGGGCAAGGAAAGACUCAGGAAAUAGGCUGGCCACUCCAGAUUGGUGCCCCCACCCCCACUCUGGCUCUUCUGCAAAUUACCCUCAGCAGUGAGCAAGGAGUUUCACUGAGAUGGAGGUGACUUCUUUAACAGCUACCUGGCAAAAUUGGAGGCAGGUACGGCAACAACACAGGCACGUGCAGGAGAAAACACAAAUUAAGAUAAUGAUUCCUAACAUAAGGAAUGACUUUUUCCACCAAGAAUGCCAUGAUACAAACCACCAGUUUAUUAACCAACCUAGGAACGGUGUCAGAUUUUUUCAGAACAUUCACUGGUAUCUCCAUGUGACUCUACUUAACGUAUUAGCAGAGUCAUCACCUAUGAACACGGCAUUCUGUUAGGUUAACAGCAUAGGUGCCUCCUUGGGAGGCGGUAAUAACGUUCAAAGCCAUAGUUUUUCUCAUUAGAGACAAUUCAGUGUUCAAUAAGGACAGGCUUUGUUGGCAUCAUUUAAGACUUCUUAGAUGAAUUCAGUAAGGCCUUGUAUGUGAGCUAUAACAUCCUCCAGGCCAAUGGCGGAAACAAAGACAAUGGCCAAAUGAUUGUACCAGUGGAAAACAGAGUGUGUCCAUCUGGCCUAGAGGAGAGUGAGGUUGACAGCUUUAGGAAUUUGACCUGGUUGUAAUACCACGCAUGCUGCCUGGGGGAGGCAGCACUGUCAGACAUGAGGAGAUGGACUGGGGGUGGGCCAUGCCAGACCAGAACCUCUACCUUCUCCGCUUUUAAAAUGCUUCAUGCUUCUUUCCAGGUAUAGUACAUUCCAAAGGCCCAGCCUGCAGCAGGACAAGUGGAUCCCAGUGGAGAUUAUAUAGUUCCUUCUCACCCAGGGGGGACAUAGUAAUUAUUCAUCCAUUCCGGUGGGAAAUUCCAUAGUAAUUAUUCAUUCAUUCUGGUGGGAAAUUCAGUAGGUAACACCUUUCCCAGGCAUCAUGGGGCUUGGUGUUCUCAGCAGCAUAGCAGAUAAAUCCACAGUGACAGCUGGGGAGGGAGGGAGCUAGUUUCCCACAAUUCCCAUACCUUUAUGGUGUUGGGUGUCUCCGCAGGGUCCCCAGUCUGGCAUACGGAGCAACAGGGGCUACUGGUUGGUCAUUCAAAUGUAUUAAAAUGUGGGGUAGUACCUUAGUCUACCCAGGCAAGCUAGUUUUACCCUUUAGUAAUUUUUAUCUAUUGCUUGCAGGUUAUAGGAAAGGUGGAACCUCCAUUCAAUGUCAUGCUCUUUUGCCCAGGUUUGUACAUCAUGGCAUUUGACAUGUGACCCCUGAUCACUGUUUAUUUGAUGAAGGUAUCUACCUGGUACUCAGUUUCUCUAAUCCCCUAAUGGUGGGAGUGUGGUUUGUGCAGUGACAGAGGAAAGCUUGGUUAGUCCAGACACUGUGUCUACACAAACUGAGACAUAUUUGGGAUUCUCACUUGGAGGGAGGGGGCCAACAUAAUCAACUUGCCAAUCCCUCAUUGGUUGGGAACUCCAGUGAAUGGCCCCAGGGUCCUUUGGCAGUUGCCUUGGGCAUUGUUUAGCACAUAUAAGACAUGUUAUUGCGUUAAUCACUGUAUUUCAAGGGCAAUUUGGCAUCGUUGGCAAUAUGCCAUCCCACCUGGAUAGGCAGUAAGUGGCAUCUACUGAAGGGUCAGUACUAGAGCUUGUACAGAGUGAUGGCCUCAACCUCCGCAUUGCCAGGAGGUGUCAGUGCCUUAUGAGCUGGGAUGCGGAAGACAGUGAGGAAUGUCUCAGGCUGAACCCAAGUGUCUUUCCGUAUAUCCCCACCUCACAAGGGCUUAUGCAUGAUCAUCUACCUCUCAGCCUCCCACAGAUUCAACCCAUGACGUUAAUCCCCCUCUAGAAUUGUCCAGCUAUCAGUACAAAGGGUUAAUGGCCAGGGCUCUGAGUGAUCACCAGACAAAUUGCUCUGAGCUUACUGGUUUGCUGUAGUCCUUGCCUGUUACGAAGAGAACAGAUUCUUAUUGAACUUAUGCAAGUAACUAUGUGGACAUGAAAAUAAGAAUAUUCACUAAGAUUUCCAAAUUCUGGAGGGACCAGGUAGGGAGGAAAAGAUAAAUGUUUCGUCUUUGUUCAUAAAGGUAUAUGUUGGCAAAUUGCUGAUAGCUCAAGAAAAAAGAAACAGAAAAGGUUUCCUGAAAUCUGGAAAAUCAAAACAUAAAAAAAAAAACCUAUAAUGUUUCCAAUAAAAAGUCAUAAAAAUUA